rnacentral:rRNA from 1 species
CCCUUAGAUGUUCUGGGCCGCACGCGCGCUACACUGAACAGUUCAACAAGUCUUAACCUUGGCCGAUAGGUCUGGGUAAUCUUUGAACGCUGUUCGUGAUUGGGAUAGACCUUUGCAAUUAUGGGUCUUCAACGAGGAAUUCCUAGUAAACGCAAGUCAUCAGCUUGCAUUGAUUACGUCCCUGCCCUUUGUACACACCGCCCGUCGCACCUACCGAUUGAAUGGUCCGGUGAAAUCUCGGGACGGCGGCUUGGUCGCUUGCGUCCGACUGCUGAAACUUGAUUAAACCAUAUUAUUUAGAGGAAGGUGAANUCGUANCA